CCCCCUCCAUACCAUAAUAACCCGCCAUGGCUUCCCAAACACGCCUCUAUAUGCACCGAUUCCACAGCGACAAAACUCUCAACCGCGGUCCCGGAGAGCGUUCAACGCGAUGCCCUUGACCUAUUUAUGACCUGGAACUGUCUGAUUUAAUGCCUCGCGUUGAUGGGUUGUGCACUUGCCGCUGCACCGGCCGUGACAUCAUCAGACGCCGUGCUCACCGGAUCGCUCGGUUUCAUCCGUCACAGUGAACGACACGACUGUAAAUGUGCCAGGAGGAACGCAUAAAACUGUCCGCCUGCUGCUCGCGCGCGUCAUCUAUACAGUUCCCCGCGCGCUUCCUUGUUUCAGGCCAAUUGCGGGACGGGCUGAAGUCACGGAGGAGGGGUGGUCUCCGGUUCCGGUUCUUUCCGUAAUCCUGCGCCGGUGGAAUUUUAAAUCCGUUCCUCCAGCGGGAUCUGCUCAAUGGAAUUCUUUGGAACGCGCAAUUGUUUCGUUGGAACAUUCGCGGAAUGCGCGGUGUUGUGGUUAGAACGUUUAAUUGAUACAUUGUGACACUCGCAGACGGAGCAUUGUUUAAAACGCUCAACUGUUAAAUUGUAACAUUUGCGGUAUGACGUUAUGUUUAGAACGCUGAAUGAAUAGGUCAGCGCCGUUGCUUUUGGAGCGUUUAAUUGUUUGCUACACUGUAACUGUAAAAGUGUGCAGAGCAGCCCACCGGGAUCCGGUGUGAAUAUUCAACAAAUGCUAGAGGAGGAGUCGGUGCACGAUAAAAGGGAUGUGAACCGAGAGCCCGGAGCUUUAGACUCAGUUUAAAGCGCGCGCUCCGUUUGUUCUUCUGUACGAGUGAUCUCUCGUAACAGGAUUUGGGCAUUAUCGAUCGGAUUAGCAGUGAUCAUCCAUGCAAAGUGACACGAGAUUGACUGGGCUUCACGUAUAGUUUCAGAUCUCUGACUAACUCCUGAGUGGAUUUAUUUCUGUUCGGUUCUGAAGCUUAUGAUAAAAGAGUUAUUCAGGAACCAUUUCCGUGUAGGAUGCACCCAGAAAACAAUGAAACCCCCGCGGGAGCAGCCAGUGCGACACCCGGUUCGGAGGAACCCCAGGCUGGACACACGGAGCAUCUCUCCCCCCCUGUGAUGGAGCUCACAGACCCGCAGGAGGACGAGGAGCCGGAGCGUAAGCUCUCCCCGGAGGACAGCACGGUCCAGCUGAUACAGACCGGCGCCAGCAAGCGUCCAGCGACGCCGCCCGCCACACACCCGGGCCCGGGGUUCGUCCCCCCGGAGGGAGGGUUCGGCUGGGUCGUGGUGUUUGCUGCCACAUGGUGCAACGGGUCGAUUUUCGGCAUACAGAACUCAUUCGGUAUUCUGCACAUGAUGCUGUUGCAAGACCAUCAGGAAGUCACGGACCAGGCGUCUCAGUUUAAAGUGGCAUGGGUCGGCGCUCUGGCGAUGGGGAUGAUCUUCUUCUGUUCGCCGGUGGUCAGCAUGUUCACGGAUCACUUCGGCUGCCGGAAGACUGCGGUCGGUGGAGCGCUCGUGGCCUUCCUCGGCCUCCUCUCCAGCUCCUUCGCCACCACGCUGGGUCUCCGCUACUUCACAUACGGGAUCCUCUUCGGCUGCGGGUCCUCGUUCGCGUUCCAGCCGUCUCUGGUGAUCCUGGGGCAUUAUUUCCGGCAGAGACUGGGAUUGGCCAACGGUGUGGUGACGGCGGGCAGCAGCCUCUUCUCCAUGGGGCUCCCGGUGCUCCUGAAGAAGGUGGUGGGACCGCUGGGUCUUUCCAGAACCUUCCAGAUCCUCAGCAUCUUCAUGCUGGUCCAGUCUCUGCUGGCCCUCACCUUUAAACCGCUCAUGCCCAGCGGGAUGAUGCCGAUGCCGGGCGUGGGAAUAGACGGACCCCCGUCAGGCCUGGAGUCGGCGAGCCGGUGGCAGAAGAGCCUGGGCAAAAUCAGGAAGUACUUUAACGUGCGAGUGUUCAGCGUUUUGACCUAUCGGGUUUGGGCGUUCGGUGUCGCCACUGCGGUUCUGGGAUACUUCGUUCCCUACGUGCACCUGAUGAGCUUCGUGAACGAGCGGUUUGUGGACACUCAGAGGGAAUGGCUUCUGCUCGUGUGUAUCGGAGCGUCGUCCGGGGUCGGUCGUCUCAUGUUCGGGAAGAUCGGAGACCUCAUUCCCGGAGUCAAUAAAAUCUACUUGCAGGUGGCUUCGUUCAUCCUGCUGGGUCUGCUGUCGAUGAUGAUCCCUCAGUGCGCCACGUUCGAAGGCCUGGUGGUGGUUUUCGUACUGAUGGGUUUCUGUGACGGCUGUUUCAUCACGAUCAUGGCCCCCAUCGCCUUCGAGCUGGUGGGGCCGAUGCAGGCGUCCCAAGCCAUCGGAUACCUCCUCGGCCUCAUGGCCAUCCCGAUGACAGCGGGACCUCCACUCGCAGGCCUUCUACGAGACCAUUUUGGGAACUACUACGUGGCGUUUUAUCUGGCUGGGAUUCCUCCAAUCGUGGGGGGGAUCGUGAUGUUUUUCGUGCCUCUGGCGCACCGGCGCGCGCAGAGACGGCAGAAGGAGGUCAGCGACCCCAGCAUGGACAAGAUGUUGAAGAACUGCUCCAACGGAGACCUGCUGCCAGGAUACACCGACAUGGAGACGCACAUAUGAAGCCCACACACACACAAAGAACAAGAUUAAACACUAAAAGGUGAAAUCUUCCCAAAUUUAACUGUAACGUGGACUCAUCAGUGUGUGUCAGAGAUGGUGUAUUUCCUCUUUGCUUGUCUCUAAUCAAACUCAAGGUCUCAAGGCUUUCCCCCUUGCUCUUCUCCUGUGCCGGAGAGGAGAUGUGAUCGUCCAAUCCCGCGCUGCCGUUUCCGACUUCCGGAUGCGGAUUCGUGCCGAAAUCCCCAGCUCGCGUUUGAGCAGAAACUGAACGGAGAGCUCAGGCAGUGCGGGAGCCUUCGCUUCAAUUAGGACCUUUAAAAAGGAAACCAAACCUUCAUCGAUUUGAUGUUUUACAGAGAUACCGUAGAUCUUAAUUUCAAUUUAUUUUCUAGAUUAUGCAAAUCAGAUUUGUAUGCUUUAGAUUUUUAGCGUAAGAAACUUUUAUGAGAAAAAUCCGUCUUUCUUCGUGCACUUUCCUCUAUCGACAUUGAUAACCUCAGCCGUGAUUUAUCUCAACGUAACGUACCGAAGCUGUUUGUGUAUCGCUUAUGAAUUAUGUAGAAAUGCACACUAAACGAGGAAUCAUUUUUAUGGAUUUUUUAAAAUGUCCUGCUAAAUUUAGUUCAGCUAUGCACUAAGAGUUCACAAACUGUGCCAUGAGCCUUGAGCCGGAUGAAAUCUAAAGGAAUCGAUGAUAAUUUGAAAUUAUAUUUUGCAUAAUUUUUUGCUUUGUGACAAUUAAGCACAUUUUCCAUCAAAUUGAUAUAAUGCGAAAACAAUCUUAUUUUCAUAAUCACAAUACAGCAGAAAACAAAGUAAUCAAAUCCGGACGGAUAAAUUAAAUCAGUAAAGCAGCAAAAAAUAUUUUUAGAAGUUGUAAAUUAAACUGAUUCUAGGAGAAAAUACUUUAUUUUUUCUACUUAAAAAUGUCAUGUCUUGUCGAUUCUUUGUAAUGUAAAUCCUACACAAAUUUCGUUUUUCAGUGCACCUUUUAUGCAAAAUAUAAUUUCUUAUUUUUAGGGUAAAAUCGGACUAUAUCGACUUUUGUGUGUGUGUGUGUGUGAGAUCCACUCAAGGACAGAAUCACUACAUUUGCUAGAUCUAUGUUUUUAUUCUUUUUUCCACAUUUGACUCCCAUUUAUUGUAUUUUUUAAAGAAUUUAUAUUUUGGUUAUAUGUAUUGUGUCUCGUUUGUUAUACUGGAAAAAACAAAUCUGGCAUUUGAAUUGAAUGGACUUUGAGGUUCUUAUGAAGACAAUCAAAGCGUGAUCUGGAUCGAACGACGACUGUAAAACAGUCACAUCUGUGAUUCUGUUUAAGAAAGGAAAGAACAGAUUGCUCUAAGCAAAACAACACAGUAGUAUUAUACAAAGUGGGCCAUGUUUAUGAGUAUUAGUCAAUUAUUAUGUGAAGAACAUGACAUUUGAAGCUG